rnacentral:rRNA from 1 species
CCUUGACAUACUAAGAACUUUCCAGAGAUGGAUUGGUGCCUUCGGGAACUUAGAUACAGGUGCUGCAUGGCUGUCGUCAGCUCGUGUCGUGAGAUGUUGGGUUAAGUCCCCGNAACGAGCGCAACCCUUUUCCUUAUUUGCCAGCGGGUCAUGCCGGGAACUUUAAGGAUACUGCCAGUGACAAACUGGAGGAAGGCGGGGACGACGUCAAGUCAUCAUGGCCCUUACGGCCAGGGCUACACACGUGCUACAAUGGUCGGUACAAAGGGUUGCUACCUCGCGAGAGGAUGCUAAUCUCAAAAAGCCGAUCGUAGUCCGGAUCGCAGUCUGCAACUCGACUGCGUGAAGUCGGAAUCGCUAGUAAUCGCGGAUCAGAAUGCCGCGGUGAAUACGUUCCCGGGCCUUGUACACACCGCCCGUCACACCAUGGGAGUUUGUUGCACCAGAAGUAGGUAGUCUAACCGCAAGGAGGACGCUUACCACGGUGUGGCCGAUGACUGGGGUGAAGUCGUAACAAGGUAGGCGUAGAUGA